rnacentral:rRNA from 1 species
GACAAACGCUGGCGGGGUGCAUGAGACAUGCAAGUCGAACGGGGUUGAUCGGGCUUGCUCGAUCAACCUAGUGGCGGACGGCUGAGUAACGCGUAGGCGACCUGCCCGGAAGUGGGGAAUAACUGCCCGAAAGGGUGGCUAAUACCGCAUGUGGUCGGCGAUUCGGUUCGUCGAUCAAAGCCGCAAGGCGCUUCCGGAGGGGCCUGCGUCCGAUUAGCUAGUUGGUGAGGUAAUGGCCCACCAAGGCGACGAUCGGUAGCUGGUCUGAGAGGAUGAU